CGCCGCAUGCGGAGGCCAAGGGAAAGGCGCGCGCGGUGCGGAGCUGAGGGCGCGGACGCAGCCGCGAGGUGACGCUGCAAGCGUGAGGAGGCCGCGCGCCGGCGCUGAGAAAUCCCCCUCCCCCAUGGUUCUACCGAGCGUGACUUAAAGUUCAGCAGCCGGUGGGCGGGGGCGGUGACGUCGAGAGGGCCGGCCGCCCGGCAGCACCUGGAGGCGGGCCGGCGGGGAGCUGGCCGCGGGGAGCGCGCCGGCCUCCGGCUCGAGGGACGGCCCGGGGUUUUCGAGAGGUGGUUCCCGCGCUUCCCGAUUUCGCACAUGCAAAUCUGCGCCCCCGCGCCCGGGCGCCUCGGAGCGCGGGCGUCCCGGAGCGGCCUGGAGGGGAAGUGCGGAAGCGGCCGGCGCAGGCGUUCGCUUGUGAUGCGUGUAUUUGCAUUCGGGGACCCCCGAAGUCCGAUUUUCCCUUUUUAUAUCUACAUUGCGAAGGCUCGGUUAACUUUACGCAUUUUAUAUACGAAAACCUUUGAAACUCAAAAGGUCUCCCUUCGCUGUGCCAAGAUUUGCCUGACACCCGCGGGGAAGCGGGAGAGCGAGUAUUCGCUCAGCCCGUCCACCCUACCAGCCCUGAUGCCACCUGUGGGCCUGCUGAGCCCCGCCGGUUAACAUGAAAACGAACGCCAUCCAGAUGUCUCAACUCGUGCUUUUUGCUGCUGUUUAAUCUUUACAUUUUUUCCUGUAUUGACGAUUCACACAAAAAAUGUUAAACUUUUUGGGUGAGAAUUUUUUCUUGGGAGAAAGGAAAACCUUUUCUUGUUUAAGUUAUAUAUGUGUGCAUGCAUAUAAAUUACAUAUACACAGAUACUCACAUGUGUUAGAUUUAUCCCUGUGCUAACUUGCAAUAUGAAAUGUGGGUUUUUUUUUUUUUUUUUUUGACCAGGAAUUGAACUCAUGACCUUGUGCUUGCCAGGCAGGCACUGUGCCAUGGAGCUACAUCCCCGGUGAAAUGUACUCUGCACACCCGCCCCCACCCCCCGCCCCCGGUACCAAGAACCAAACUCACAACCUCGUGCUGAAAUGUACUUCAGCGUUACCAUCAAG
rnacentral:lncRNA from 1 species